ACCACUGCUGCCACCAUCGC
rnacentral:misc_RNA from 1 species